UACGUAGGUGGCAAGCGUUGUCCGGAUUUAUUGGGUUUAAAGGGUGCGUAGGCGGCCUUAUAAGUCAGUGCUGAAAUAUCCCGGCUUAACCGGGAGGGUGGCAUUGAUACUGUAGGGCUUGAGUGUAGUCGAGGUAGGCGGAAUUGACGGUGUAGCGGUGAAAUGCUUAGAUAUUACAUGGAAUACCAAUUGCGAAGGCAGGUUACUAUCAAUAUAUUGACGCUGAUGGACGAAAGCGUGGGGAGCGAACAGG
rnacentral:rRNA from 1 species